rnacentral:lncRNA from 1 species
GGGAGAUAGGCAGGGGCAGGUCUCAGGGGACUGUGGUGGGUACUCAUGGGGGCGUUAAUUUGGGGAGCAAUGGGCUCAUUUAGGAAGACCACUGGGCAGCCCCUGCUGUGGAAGCUAGAUUGGGGCAGAGAGAGAGCGUUGACGAGGAGUCCAGAAAAUUACUUUUUGCUGGUCUCCGGGAGAAGGAUGAAGGAUCUAAUCAAGAGCAGUGGCACUUCUCAUGAGAGCGAGACUGGAUCUGAAGGACAUCUAGGGAAGCUACAGAGGUCGUAGACCGGGAAGCCACCAAGAGCCACAGCAGGCACCCUGUCUGUGCGUCUUGCUCUCUCUGGAGCCCGAGGGUCAUUCAUCUUUGCACUUCUCUGGGACUGAGCUUCGUUUUUCAAUCUCCCUCUCUGGUUCGGUUUUAUCCUUUUGACACACGGCGUCAGAUGGCUGCCCCACAGUUUCCAGCUUCCCUGCAGUGUGACUUACGAAUUAGACGCGUUCCUGGGAGGAGAACGUGAUUGGCUCAGCUCAAGUCACGUGCUCGCCACUACCCAGUCAACUGUAACCAGGAAGGUGCAGUCACGUCCAGCAAUUAACGCUGCGGUGCUCGAUCAUCCAGGGUAUCCAGGAAAGGACUCACCAUCCUCCAGAAGGGUCUGCUGUUCCCCGCCUCAGCGUUCUCUUCUGGAAGGUGGGAUGACAAUUCCUACCUACCGCGAAGAUGAAAGGAGCUAACCCGUGGAAGUUCAUUGUCAACCGUAUAGCACCACAUAUAAAUUCUUCUGUACCCUCUUCUUCUCUGGGACCUGAGGCCCAUGCUUUCUCUCUUUGCCACCCCUUGCCGAGGGAGAUAUCCUGCGGCUGGAAGAAGAGGAGGGGCUGGAUGCUGACCUUCCAGGUUAGGAUCCGUAUUAGGCUGUGUUUUGACUGGGAGGGAGGGGACAUACGUCUGAGCUGGCUGGGCUGGUCAUGGCUCUGCUUGGGUAAGUGUGAGCUCUGUCUCUGUUCUAGAAGCUCUAGAAGCAGAUAACAGGGUCAACAAUGAGGGCAUGAGUCGAGGAAGACCAGAAAGCCAAAGUCCGAAGGUGAUGCCAGGCUCAGGAGCCAUAGAAGUGUCUGGAUUCUGGGAACAAAGAACCAAGGAUCAAGCUCAGGGAAGUACAAGCGACUUCUGAAUGAUUAGUAUGCUGCUGAAACCAAAUCCUACUGGGGCCUUAAUCAAAGAAAUUAAGGUUCUCCCCCCAAAUCAUGUAACCUGUAAUUGAGGGGAGAAUGGAUCAAAAUCCACCCGGUCGGAGUCCAAAGCUACCACACCUCGUUGUCUCCUAGGUGUCGUUGGGAAAGGCUUUCCACUGACUCUGGAUGGCUCUUCCUGUGCAGGGAGUUCAAUUAGUGUAACUCCAGGUCCCUUUCACCCAGUUUAUUCUUGCUACCCUGGGAGAUGUAAUGACCUUAUCUUACCAAUUGGUAAAUUGAGGGAGAAUAAUGGGGCCUGCUGGUGUGGUCCCUGCUCUCUCUCGGG